rnacentral:lncRNA from 1 species
GUCACAUUAUGAAGGUCUAGGAGCGGGUAGUCGAGGCGAAGGUGAGGGAGUCGACAUCUGUAUCCGCGAACUAGUUCGGUUUUAUGCCGGGGCGCUCCACUACAGAAGCUAUCCACCUUGUCAGGAAAUUGAUGGAACAGUUCAGGGAUAAGAAGAGGGACCUGCACAUGGUGUUUAUCGAGAGGUUUGGGAGCGGGUGAUCGAGGCGAGGGUGGGGGAGAUGACAGUUAUAUCUGUGAACCAGUUCGGUUUCAUGCCGGUUCGCUCUACUACAUAAGCUAUUCACCUUGUCAGGAGGCUGGUGGAGCAGUUCAGGGAUAAGAAGAAGGACCUGCACAUGGUGCUUAUCGACUUGGAGAAGGCAUAUGACAAGGN